rnacentral:rRNA from 1 species
GACAGAGGGUGCAAACGUUGCUCGGAAUUACUGGGCGUAAAGCGCGUGUAGGCGGUGCCGCACGUCCGAUGUGAAAGCCCAGGGCUCAACCCUGGACGUGCAUUGGAUACGACGGCGCUGGAGUCCUGAAGAGGAGGGCGGAAUUCCCGGUGUAGAGGUGAAAUUCGUAGAUAUCGGGAGGAACACCAGUGGCGAAGGCAGCUCGCUGGGACGUUACUGACACUGAGGCGCGAAAGCGUGGGGAGCGAACAGG